CCUACGGGGGGCAGCAGUGGGGAAUAUUGGACAAUGGGCGAAAGCCUGAUCCAGCCAUGCCGCGUGUGUGAAGAAGGCCUUCGGGUUGUAAAGCACUUUCAGUGGGGAAGAAAGCCUUGGGGCUAAUACCCUCGAGGAAGGACAUCACCCACAGAAGAAGCACCGGCUAACUCCGUGCCAGCAGCCGCGGUAAUACGGAGGGUGCGAGCGUUAAUCGGAAUUACUGGGCGUAAAGCGCGCGUAGGCGGUCUGAUAAGCCGGUUGUGAAAGCCCCGGGCUCAACCUGGGAACGGCAUCCGGAACUGUCAGGCUAGAGUGCAGGAGAGGAAGGUAGAAUUCCCGGUGUAGCGGUGAAAUGCGUAGAGAUCGGGAGGAAUACCAGUGGCGAAGGCGGCCUUCUGGACUGACACUGACGCUGAGGUGCGAAAGCGUGGGUAGCAAACAGGAUUAGAUACCCCUGUAGC
rnacentral:rRNA from 1 species